GCUAUAACAGGUUGUUUCCAAUAUGCUUGUUUGGAGUAUAAUAUUAAUUUGCCAAUCAUUUCUAAAGUACAGUUGGGCCUCUCUUUCAGUCGACAUCGAUGAUGACUUUCGUGAGUGCGGAAAUGGGCUACCUUUUCCAGCGAUUAAUUUUUCAAAUUUCCAAAUAAUACCGGAAGAAGACGGUUCCAUGACGUUGAAUGGCUCAAUUCAGUUCACAGGAGAUUUUGAAAGUCCCACCAGAUUUCGUAUGUACUCUAAAAAGCUAGAACGGGGCGAAUGGGUUCCAGGAUUUUUAAAUCGAGAGGUGCUUAAUAUGUGUCCACUGCUGCAGUUGCCACACGAAAUCUGGUACCCGUUCACCAGUAUAAUGAAACAGAAGUCGUGCCCCUACAGGGACGGGCACAUCGAACCAGUAAAUUCCCUAAAUAUUGGAAACUAUGCCGAAAUACUAAACCUACCGCCGUCUUUUAUUGGCGAAUGGAGAGUUUACUACGAGGUCACCACAACUCGGAAACGGAAGCGUGUAAUGCAAUGUUUGAUGA